rnacentral:rRNA from 1 species
UACGGGGGGGGCAAGCGUUGUUCGGAAUUACUGGGCGUAAAGGGCUCGUAGGCGGCCAACUAAGUCAGACGUGAAAUCCCUCGGCUUAACCGGGGAACUGCAUCUGAUACUGGAUGGCUUGAGUUUGGGAGAGGGAUGCGGAAUUCCAGGUGUAGCGGUGAAAUGCGUAGAUAUCUGGAGGAACACCGGUGGCGAAGGCGGCAUCCUGGACCAACACUGACACUGAGGAGCGAAAGCCAGGGGAGCAAACGGG